GGUCAGAUUACUCAUUGUCCCUCUGAGAAAAUCUAUAGAGGGAGCGGGCUGCAAGACUAGAAAAGUCUGGGAAUUCAGCAUUAACACAGCUACUCCUCUGAGACUCUUCCCUUCCAUCAGUCACAAAGCUGAUGUGUUCUGAGAUGAAUUCCAGGCACGAUACAUUGGUCUCUGAACAUUCUCCCAUGGACACCAGUAAUCCACUAGGCUGAGAAGAGUAACUGGCGUAGAUGGGAGAGCAGCUCCUGUCGACCUUCCCACACACAAGACACCGUGGGUCUCUUCAGACAACUACAGAGAAUUGCUGGUAUUAGUCAGUUUGCAAUCUCUAAAUCGUUAACUCAAUUUCUUGAUAUAAUGUUCAGGAGAAAAGAAGGUCAAUAAACCUGCCUCUGCAGACUAUGAAGCACCAGCGGAUGAGUGUGGAGUUUUUCUAGUCUAAGAAAAUGUUCCUGGAUUGUCAGCUGUGUGUGGGAAUGCUGAGUGAAGAAGUUGGGAAAGCGGGAGAAAUAUUGGAGAGAGGGGAGAGCAGACAUAACUAUUAAGAGAUUGGAGAUCAACAUUCAAAUGACCACAGAGAAUACAUUGCAAUAAAAUAACUGGUUGCUCAUACCCAUUGGCCCAGACUCAUGGGGUUCAGGUUGUGGAGCUAUAAAACUGUAGUGUAGACUUUAGUGCUCUGGCUAGGUUCUCAGAAAACCCAACUGCAGUUUUAUAGACAUGAAAACAUCCACCCAGGCCAAACACCUUUGCUGCAGUUUUAUAGGCCUGCAGCCUUAGAGUAUCUCUAAACUACAUCCCCUUUUUGAUAAAGGGAUGUAAAUUAGACAUAUUG